rnacentral:rRNA from 1 species
AUUGCCCUAGUAACGGCGAGUGAAGCGGCAACAGCUCAAAUUUGAAAUCUGGCCCCCGGGUCCGAGUUGUUGUUUGUAGAGGAUGCUUUUGGUGCGGUACCUUCCGAGUUCCCUGGAACGGGACGCCAUAGAGGGUGAGAGCCCCGUCUGGUCGGAUACCAAUCCUCUGUAAAGCUCCUUCGACGAGUCGAGUAGUUUGGGAAUGCUGCUCUAAAUGGGAGGUAUAUGUCUUCUAAAGCUAAAUAUUGGCCAGAGACCGAUAGCGCACAAGUAGAGUGAUCGAAAGAUGAAAAGCACUUUGAAAAGAGGGUUAAACAGUACGUGAAAUUGUUGAAAGGGAAGCGCUUGUGACCAGACUUGGGCCCGGUUAAUCAUCCAGCGUUCUCGCUGGUGCACUUGGCCGGCCCAGGCCAGCAUCAGUUCGGCGUGGGGGAUAAAGGCGGCGGGAAUGUGGCUCCUCCGGGAGUGUUAUAGCCCACCGUGUAAUACCCUGAGCUGGACUGAGGUUCGCGCAUCUGCAAGGAUGCUGGCGUAAUGGUCAUUAGCGACCCGUCUUGAAACACGGACCAAGGAGUCGUCCUCGUAUGCGAGUGUUCGGGUGUUAAACCCCUACGCGUAAUGAAAGUGAACGCAGGUGAGAGCUUCGGCGCAUCAUCGACCGAUCCUGAUGUUCUCGGAUGGAUUUGAGUAAGAGCAUACGGGGCCGGACCCGAAAGAAGGUGAACUAUGCCUGUAUAGGGUGAAGCCAGAGGAAACUCUGGUGGAGGCUCGCACCGGUUCUGACUUGCAAAUCGAUCGUCAAAUAUGGGCAUGGGGGCGAAAGACUAAUCGAACCUUUCUAGUAGCUGGUUUCCGCCGA